GAGCCCGUAGCUCAGUGGUAGAGCAGCGGCCUUUUAAGCCGUUGGUCGAAGGUUCAAAUCCUUCCGGGCUCA
rnacentral:tRNA from 1 species